AUUUUUAUAGUGUAAUACUAGCACAUUAGAUUUUCAAUCUUUUAGAAUAUCUUAGAUAUUAAAAAUA
rnacentral:tRNA from 1 species